rnacentral:sRNA from 1 species
UCUUCUUAUUUUUCUUGCAGAUGAAUGGACCAGGUAGUUUGUUUGCUUCAGAGAAUUUCCUGGGAAUUUCAAGUCAGCCUAGAAAUGACUUUGGAAACUUUUUUGGAAGUGCAGUUACCAAACCAUCUUCAUCAGUGACUCCAAGACAUCCCCUCGAAGGAACCCAUGAAUUGAGACAAGCUUGCCAGAUCUGUUUUGUAAAAUCAGGCCCUAAGUUAAUGGAUUUCACUUACCAUGCUAAUAUAGAUCAUAAGUGUAAGAAAGAUAUUUUAAUCGGUAGGAUAAAGAAUGUUGAAGAUAAAUCAUGGAAAAAAAUACGUCCAAGACCAACAAAAACAAAUUAUGAAGGACCAUAUUAUAUAUGUAAAGAUGUUGCUGCUGAGGAGGAAUGUAGAUAUUCAGGCCACUGCACGUUUGCUUAUUGCCAAGAGGAGAUAGAUGUGUGGACACUGGAGCGGAAAGGAGCAUUCAGCCGUGAGG